rnacentral:sRNA from 1 species
CGGAAAUAUAUGGGACACAGCUCUGUAAACACGAGUCUAUUCUUACAGAAAUGAUGCGUAAAUAGCACUAUGCAAGAGACAUAAUUGAGUAGCUUCGAGAUUGUACAAACUUUCAAACAGGGAUGCUGAUAAUCUUAUUACUUGAUUGUGUGGUCCUAUCAUAUACGAGUGAUGAUAUUAUCAACAAACAAUUCAUCGAACACAAGGAUACCUUUGAAAUAACAUGUGACAUAAGUAAAUACAAAUCUUCACGAAACUCUCGUCCGGGAGUGUUCGUCAGUGAGCUGAAGGUGUCCAGAAUGGUUGGCAACGACUAUGACUACAAAGAUAUAGCGACUCUUAUACCAAACAUUAUAAUUAGCCCUGUGAAA